AGGCGACGUGGCGGGAGCGAGCGGCGCACGCCCGGCGACCAGCGUGGCCUCAUCCAGCCUCUGAUCGGUGGGGACGUCUGACUGUGGAGCCCGGUUGUCUGUGGCGGGGGAAGGGAGCGGCGGCCGGAUGCGCAGCUACGGCGGAGGCGGGGCCUUUCCAGCUGCACGCGCUUGGAUCCGGCUUGGAUUCCCUCGCCUCGACACGUCGGAACAGUGGCCCCCCGCCGGAACAGUGCGCAGGCGGCGCCUGUCCGCCCUGUCCUCCGCUGCGCUCCCGACGUCCCGUCGGAGGCGGUGCCCGAGACCACCCCGUCGUGUCGGCGUGCUCCCGGAGCUCGAUGCCCGGCCCUUUCACGCCGAGAUAAGAGCCGCGCCCCUUUCCUCUCCUCUUCCUCCCCUUCCCCCGUUUCUUCUCCCUCCUGCUUCUCUCUUCGUGUUCUUCUUCCCUGCCACCCACUCCGGCGGCAGCUCGACCUCCUCCGGCUCCGCGCGGGUGAGCUCCGCCGCCUCCACGACCGCGCGAGCACGAGCUUCGCUGUCCCCGUCACGCGAGCGAGAUCCAUGGCGGCCCCCCUACGCUUCCUCCCCAACUUCGACGCCUCCGCGUCCGCGUCGACCGGCCAAGGUUCAGCUCGACCUCCUCGGUCUCCACCUACGCUCCGCUGCUGCCGCCCGCUUCGCGGGAUCCAGAUCCGGCCUCCCCCUCCACCUCCUCGUCCCUGCUCACCCCGUCCUUACUCUGCUCCGCCAUCCACCCCCGCGCGCCCGCUCCACCGGUGCAUCUCCUUGGCCAGACCGCACAGCAUCGGCAGCGCCAUCCCCUCCUCCAUGGCAGUCCCGCCGGGCACGGCGCAGCUCGCCAAGUCCGCCUCCAUCAUCAGGCGGGCUCCCGCUGAACAAGUCUGACAUCAACCACAGUCAAUCUGGCUUAGCCUCCAGAAGCCCGUGGUGCGCGCGCCGCAAGCUCCAGCAAGCAGGUGAGUGGGGGACUGAGUUCGAGCUCCUGGAUUCGGCUUGCUUCUAUAUCACGUUCUUUUUUUCCCCUUGACUCCUUCCUCCGUUGGAACCUCCUCCUCCUGCAGAUCUGGUGCGGUGGUGACAACUUCCGUGAGGAGGUCUACACCGUGUUUGUCUGCUUGGACUGCAGUAAAGCACGCACUUUGUUAAUUAAAUCAUCUUAAAUUCUGGUGUGAUUUUCCCAUCUGGAUGGUAAACUUUGAUUUUUCAGCUAAGUGUUUGUUCUUUUUCCAGUGCGAAGUAAUGGAACAGAUUAAUUGAUAUGCUUCUUUCUCUUGAAGAAUCUGAUUAAAGUUGCAAGACUUAAAUGCUAGAAGCCAGAAACAAGGGUUCCAUUGGUUACUCAAUUAAAUUUGAAGAUACUCCAUGUUUUCUAAAUUCCAAAAAAAGAUUAGUCUUCGACUGCCCAUCUGAGCAUUGUAUGGGAUUGUUCUUUCUUUCUUGUAUACCAAAAAAAAAAA